UACAGAGGUCUCAAGCGUUGUUCGGAUUCAUUGGGCAUAAAGGGUGCGUAGGCGGCGCGGUAAGUCGGGUGUGAAAUCUUGGAGCUUAACUCCGAAACUGCAUUCGAUACUGCCGUGCUUGAGGACUGGAGAGGAGACUGGAAUUUACGGUGUAGCGGUGAAAUGCGUAGAUAUCGUAAGGAAGACCAGUGGCGAAGGCGGGUCUCUGGACAGUUCCUGACGCUGAGGCACGAAGGCCAGGGGAGCAAACGGG
rnacentral:rRNA from 1 species